GGGAGUCUCUAGGCGGGUUUCUUCGACGUUCUCACCCAAUCCCCAAUCGAACUCUCGUCUCGUCUCUUGCACAAUUUUUCAAUCCAAGAAAUUGCUGCUUGGAGAUUCCGUUUUCUGUUUAAUAGCUUUCUAAAGAUUUCAAUUGUGUUCUGCUCUGAGAUCUAACUCCGGAUUAUUUUCCAUUUCUUCAUGCACAAAGUAUCCAGAUUUUCACUCUGAUCCAUCGCAAGCUGGAUCUUUCGCCCUUGUAGAUCGGAAUCUGGUCGCCGGCCAUGUCUUGUUUAGCCCUUUCUUUACAAAUUUCCAACGGAUCCGACAUCCUGCUCCAGACCCGCGAGUGGUUCCCACCUGCUCGAGCCCUUGGAGCCCUCUCUGCUUUCCGCCAAACCCGUCGCGCCUUGGCUUCUAACAAGAAUUCCCAACCCUUCGGUGAUGACGCCUACGCCGCCGAGUCCAUCGGUGACGAUCCGCUCGCUGCCUCCAGUGGUCAAGUUAUUGUCGGCGUAGAAAGUCGUUACCGCGUCGUAUAUCGGUUAGUGAAUGGAAUUUAUGUGCUUGGUGUAACUGUUGCCGAUCACGACAAUACAGUAAACGUAUUUGAGUGUAUAAAUAUUGUGAACCAAGCUGUUAGUGUCAUCGUUACUGCUUGCCGUGGUGUGGAUGUUACUCCCGAAAAACUUAGUAAGAAGUAUGCGGAGGUCUACAUGGCUUUGGAUAUUGUUCUUAGGGGCGUCAGUAACAUCCGACUUGCUGCAAUGCUGGCGUCGUUGCACGGUGAUAGCAUUGCGAAGAUGGUUCACUCGGCGAUUGACUCCGAGAACAAGAUCCGCGGUGCUGAUACUUGGACUGCUGCUGAGGUGCAUUCGAUCGAGCAGCAAACGGGCAUUGAUGCGUUCUCCAAAGCUCGGUUUGAGUUACCGCCUGAGACACUUGCAGCUGGAGAUGAAGUCGCUGCUACCCUUGCUCCAGUGGCAAGUGAGCAGCAGGAUGAGCAGCAGCAGACGAAGCCAGAAGAAUCGCCCACGGAAAAUGAUCCAUUUGCUGCAAGCGAUGCGAUCAAUAAACCCCCAGAGCUGGUGGGUGGCUUUAAGAAGACUAAGGAUCCUUCAGCUACUGAUUUGACGACAGCAUUGGCGGGGCUUGAGGUCACGACAUUGCCUCCUCCAGAGGCGACCCAGUCUACCCAUAUCAAUGUGGAGGGAUUUGAAGGAAAUUAUGGUGGGGUCGAAUUUAGCAAUGAACAAGCAACUCUAGGAGAAGCUUUUGAAUCCUUCAGCGACGCUUGGGGAGGUGGGCUUGAUCCAUCAGAGUUCGUUGGCACGAAGAGGGCUCCAAAACCCCAAGGGCUUGGUGGACUUGAAUUGUUACAGACCGGACCAGAUGUUGCCGUUAAAGCACCAGCGGAAGGUGGAGCAGCAGGCAAUCUUGAAAAUUUAUUGGUAAAGAAAACGGAAAUGAAGGGUCCUGAGAUGUAUAUCUCUGAACAGAUUAGUGCAGAGUUCAGAGAGUCAUUACUUGCAAGGGUAGGAUUAAUGGGUGUUGUAUACCUUAGAACUUUGCCUCCUAAAACUUCUGGUGAUAAGGAAACUGAAUUCUCAUUUCGAGUUGAGGGGACAAGUGCAGUUAAAAGAUUUGUUAUACAAAAUUCUCGUGUCAGCUCCCUUGGCAAUGGUUUGUUUCAUGUGAGGACUGCAGCCUCAGAUGAGCCUCUUCCAAUAAUCAAGUACAGUUUGCUGCCCAGGUUGACGCCAUUGCCUUUGAGGGUUCGACUUUUAAAACGCCAUACUGGUAGUUUACUUUCUGUGAUGAUACAAUAUGCUUCAAACCCUAAUUUGCUCGCACCCAUGAGAGAUGUCACAUUCAUUCUGAAAUUACCAGUUGACCCAACAUUGUUGAAAGUUUCACCAAAGGCUGUGUUGAAUAGGUCUGAAAAAGAAGUUAAAUGGCAUGUGCAAGAGAUUCCACUCAAAGGUACUCCUGGUCGGUUGAGAGCAAGGAUGCCAGUAGACUCAACUGAAGAGGAUGAAGAAAUUGAGGUGGUUGGCUAUGUGAAAUUUUCCGUUGAAGGAAUGCAGUCAUUAUCUGGGGUUUGUCUAAGACCUGCUUCUGAGGAGAACACCAGUCAAGGAUUUGGCUUUUUUCUAAAUCAAGAAAUUACGACUGUGUCAAGACUGGUGUACCCGUGUCAUCAAAAGCUGCUCAUGCAGCCUCACCAGGUUCAAGCCAGGUGGAUUUCUUAGGCUUGCGCAUGGGGCAGCCUGAUAAAAGAAGGAUGACGAAGAGUUGAUGCAGUCCCUUCAUGAUGAAGCCUUCCAUGACCACAGUCCAUGCCGGGCGUGUCCACUGGUGGUGCACAUUGUGGGCCCCAUAUUUCGGCAUGUGAAUAGUUGAUGAAAUUCAUUCCUUCAGUAGCUCAUUUCCACCUCAGAGUUGUCAGACUUACCCAGUUUCGCAGCCCCUCAGUUCACAGCCUUCCUCCUAUCAAUUCUCAUCAGGUGAUGCAUGAAACAUGAUGCAUCCACCGAAGCAGCAUAUUACGUGUUAAGCAAAAAUGGAGUUAUAGCCCUUGGUCCUGUCUGGAACACGCUACAUGUCAAUAGGUAUGCUAUCAUAACGUGAUAACGAUAAGGAAUGCAUUAGGAUUUUAAUCAUUUCUGAAGCCAAGUGAGACAAGAUCACAGCUAGAAGCAUUGACACUGUUGAGUGGGAAAGUGCCAGUUUAGUGUCUUGAUAUUUAAAAUGUCGUAACCAACAUUAAUCCCAUCUUCAGAAGGUAACGCAGAGUUGGGGGAUUCUGAACCAUCAUCACCCUUCCCCUCAUCAUUUAUUUCUUGCGACUAAAAGAGAACAGCAGAGGCUGUUAAGUUGUAUGACUCUUAGGGCGUCCACGUUUGUGCUCCCAGCACAAGUAAGUGUGAAGGAAAAUCCAAAUUUUCCUUAUUAGAGUGUUACUAUCCUCUUAUGAAAUGUUAUCUAGGACUUGAAAUUGGUAAAUUUGUCUGCAUCUAAACCUGGAACUUGCUUGAGAAUUGCAGCCGAGUUCAGGGAUUAUUCAGAUUC